UCCAAGCUAACUCUGUGCCAGGCCGUAGCAUGGGGUCCUGGUCUUCCUGUCAUAACAUACAUUACUUACCAUUACCCCAGGGCCUCCUCUGGGCUCCUGGUCUUCGAGUCCCAUAACCGUGCCAGGCCGUAGAAUGGGGUCCUGGUCUUUCCUUACUCUGUGCCAGGCCGUAGAAUGGGGUCCUGGUCUUCCUGUCAUGGACUAAUUGGGUCAUCCAAUAUUCACCCACAUCAAC
rnacentral:lncRNA from 1 species